CAAAUACUUCCUCCGUCCGAAAAUACUUGUCAUCAAAAUGGAUAAAAGGAAAUGUAUCUAGACGUAUUUUAGUUUUAGAUACAUCUCUUUUUAUCCAUUUUGAUGAC
rnacentral:pre_miRNA from 1 species